rnacentral:rRNA from 1 species
CACGUAGGGGCCAAGCGUUGUCCGGAUUUAUUGGGCGUAAAGAGCUCGUAGGCGGUUCGACAAGUCGGGUGUGAAAACUCCGGGCUCAACCCGGAGACGCCACCCGAUACUGUCGUGACUGGAGUCCGGUAGGGGAGUGGGGAAUUCCUGGUGUAGCGGUGAAAUGCGCAGAUAUCAGGAGGAACACCUAUUGCGAAGGCAGCUCGCUGGGACGUAACUGACGCUGAGACGCGAAAGCGUGGGGAGCAAACAGG